rnacentral:rRNA from 1 species
AUCUACGGCCAUGCUACCCUGAACAAGCCCAAUCCCGUCUGAUUUCAGAAGCUAAGCACUGUCAGGCCUGGUUAGUACUUGGAUGGGAGACCACCUAGGAAGACCAGGUGCUGUAGGCG